UGUAAAGUUCAAGCUCCGAUAUGUGAGGGCGAAACCGCGAAUGGCUCAUUAAAUCAGUCAUAAUCUACUUGAUUGUUUGAAAGUUUAGAUGGAUAACUGUGGUAAUUCUAGAGCUAAUACAUGAUUAAAUGGGGCAACUGCUGAAAGGCAGAAGCUCUGCGUUUAUUAGACUAAGACCAAUGAAUUGAGCAAUCAAUUCUUUAAAAGUCAAGGUGACUCUGAGUAAAUAAUGGGUGAAAGCCCAUGGUGCCGACCUGGAUUUUAGGAGCCUUUAGGGGCUCUCCAGGCAAGUCAAUCGAGUGUCUGCUCUAUCAACUGUGGAUGGUAGGAUAAUUGCCUACCAUGGUGGUGACGGGUAACGGGGAGUUAGGGCUCGACUCCGGAGAACAAGCCUGAGAAACGGCUAGUAGGACUAAGGUCUGCAGCAGGCGCGAAACUUACACAAUGCUAGAUUUUUGAUAAUUAGCGAUGUAGUGAAGAAAAAUAACGAUGUACUUUCAUUAAAACAUGAUAGUACAAUUGGAAUGAGACGACUAUAAAUGAGUUAGUCGAGUAACAAAUGGAGGGCAAGUCUGGUGCCAGCAGCCGCGGUAAUUCCAGCUCCAUUAGCAUACAUUAAAGUUGUUGCGGUUAAAAAGCUCGUAGUUGAAUGUUGGGUGGGUUCUGGUUUGGAUGGUCGCUAAGGGAUUAUUGAGCUCUUUAUUGGGUUUUCAAUUAAUUCUGGCUAUUUUUAAACGCAAAGCCCACCGUUUCGUCACUUAAUCGAGUGCGAAGCAGGGCGAAUCUAUGCAACUUUUAACAAGUUGCUAGGCGCGCCAAGUUUACCUUGAGAAAAUUAGAGUGCUCACAGCAGGCAGUUGGAGUGUAAAAGCUUCUUUAUGCUUGAAUAAUGUUGCAUGGAAUAAUAGAAUACGGCCUCGGUUCUAUUCUGUUGGUCUUAUAGAACAACAAACAAGUUGGAUGGGGCGUCAAAUGUUGUUUUAAGUGGGGAUUAAUUGGGUUUAGUUAGUUGCCUUAAAGUAAAAUUUAAGCGCCUUCUACCAAUUAAUUAUCUCAAACUUACUUUGAAAUUUAACAUGCCCAUCUCCAACUGAGGCAAUGGUUAAAAGAAAUAGUCGCGGCGGCAUCAGUACUGCAUCGUGAGAGGUGAAAUUCUUAGACCGAUGCAAGACUAACUGAAGCGAAAGCGUUUGCCGAGGAUAUUUUCAUUAAUCAAGAACGAAAGUUAGAGGUUCGAAGGCGAUCAGAUACCGCCCUAGUUCUAACCAUAAACGUUGCCAACUAGCAAUUGGGUUGCGAUUCCUUUAGGGACGGUUAGCUUAACCAGUUAAUCCGCCCCCAUUAUGAUCCACCCAGCGGCUCUCGUAGGGAAACCAAAGUGUUUGGGUUCCGGGGGAAGUAUGAUUGCAAAGUUGAAACUUAAAGGAAUUGACGGAAGGGCACCACCAGGAGUGGAGCCUGCGGCUUAAUUUGACUCAACACGGGGAAACUUACUAGAUUAAAACUCUGGAAUGAUUGACAGAUUGAUAGCUCUUUCUUGAUUCAGAGGAUGGUGGUGCAUGGCCGUUCUUGAUUCGUAUUCCGAAACGUCUGCUUAAUUGCGAUAACGAGUGAGACCUCACCCAACUAACUAGUCGUUCGGUGCGCUGUUUGGACGCAAAAGUUUGUUUGUCCAUUGAACGUAGGGGCAACCUGAAAUUUAUGUUCGAAUAAAUGUCCUCUGCUCGCCGGCGGACUUCUUAGAGGGAUAAACGGUGUUUUAGCCGUAAGAAACGAGGCAAUAACAGGUCUGUGAUGCCCUUAGAUAUUCUAGGCCGCACGCGUGCUACAAUGGCGUGUGCAGAAAGCUUGUUCGAGGUUUGUCCAGAGAGAACUGGUUGUUUGGUUGAUAGAUGCAGCAAUGUGUUUGUUGAUCGGCAAUUAAGUGACUUUGGUUAGCAGGCCGAGAGAAACCGGAUCCGAAAGGAGACGGCAAUCAUAAAUACACGCCGUGAUUUGGGAUUGGGGAUUGCAAUUGUUGCCCAUGAACGAGGAAUUCCCAGUAAGCGCAAUUCAUCAUAUUGCGUUGAUUACGUCCCUGCCCUUUGUACACACCGCCCGUCGCUACUACCGAUUGGAAGUUUUAGUGAGGCAUUUGGACCUGCUAUCAUAAAUUGGGUAACCAAUUUUAGACGGCGGGGAAGUCUGUCGAACUCAAAUUUCUAGAGGAAGUAAAAGUCGUAACAAGGUUUCCGU
rnacentral:rRNA from 1 species